CUGAAGCCUUCCGAUGUUAUAUGUACCACUCGAGCGGUGCAACGAAAGUCUAUCAUAUACGUAUCACGUGUCAAGUUGGUUCACCUACCGGAUAUUAAUAUUUUGAAGUCUACAGAACUGAGUAGGAUUACGUACGACCCAGAUAUGCUCGAGGCACGAGAUAUUUAAAUUAUGGAUAUAUACCUAAGUCUGUGUUCAUGUUAGAAACAUUGGGUGUUUUUAUAUCUUUAGUUGUUGAAUAUUAAAAUCCAUGAUGGUGUUUUGUGAUUUUCUUUUGGUUAACUGCCUUUAUGUUUCUUUCCUACUUGUAGAAGUAUACUUUAGUUUGUUUAAUAUUAUAUUAUGUUGUAACAAGUAUGUUAUAUUACUUGAUUUAAAAGUAAUGGUUACACCUAUUUUUCACCAAA